rnacentral:rRNA from 1 species
GUGGCGCAUGGCUGUCGUCAGCUCGUGUCGUGAGAUGUUGGGUUAAGUCUCGUAACGAGCGCAACCCUCGCUUUUAGUUCCCAGCAUUUAGGUGGGCCCUCUAAGGGGACUGCCGGUGAUAAGCCGAGAGGAAGGUGGGGAUGACGUCAAGUCCUCACGGCCCUUUCGGGCUCGGCUACACACGUGCUACAAUGGUGGUAACAGUGGGCAGCGAGUCCGGGAUGUCGACCUAAUCUCCAAAAGCCAUCUCAGUUCGGAUUGCCCUCUGCAACUCGAGUGCAUGAAGUUGGAAUCGCUAGUAAUCGCGGAUCAGCAUGCCACGGUGAAUACGUUCCCGGGCCUUGUACACACCGCCCGUCACACCAUGGGAGUUGGUUUUCCCCGAAGGCCGUACGCUAACCGCAUAGGAAGCAGGUGAACUAC